UACGGAGGGUGCGAGCGUUGUCCGGAAUCACUGGGCGUAAAGGGCGCGUAGGCGGUCUGCUAAGCGUGUGGUGAAAGCUCGGGGCUCAACCCCGAGUCGGCCAUGCGAACUGGUGGACUAGAGCACUGUAGAGGCAGGUGGAAUUCCGGGUGUAGCGGUGGAAUGCGUAGAGAUCCGGAAGAACACCGGUGGCGAAGGCGGCCUGCUGGGCAGUAGCUGACGCUGAGGCGCGAUAGCGUGGGGAGCAAACAGG
rnacentral:rRNA from 2 species